AUUGAACGCUAGCGGGAUGCCUUACACAUGCAAGUCGAACGGAGUGGCGAACGGGUGAGUAAUGUAUCGGAACGUGCACAGUAGCGGGGGAUAACUACGCGAAAGCGAAGCUAAUACCGCAUACUAUUGGAGCGGCCGAUAUAGGAUUAGCUAGUUGGUGGGGUAACGGGUCACCAGGCCGACGACCCGUAGCUGGUUUGAGAGGACGACCAGCCCACCUGGGACGGAGACACGGCCCAGACGCCUACGUGAGGCAGCAUUUGUGAAUUUUGGACAAUGGGGGAAACCCUGAUCCAGCCAUCCCGCGUGUGCGAUGAAGGCCUUCGGGUUGUAAAGCACUUUUGGCAGGAAAGCGGUACCUGCAGAAUAAGCACCGGCUAACUACGUGCCAGCAGCCGCGGUAAUUC
rnacentral:rRNA from 1 species